CUCAACUACAUAGUGACAUUCCUAGGUCAAUUCCUGCUGAUAUUACUAGGAAGAAGACCCUCAGUCAUGACAACAAUUAACAACCCCCACGUCUGGCAGGCUUCCCACACUUAGUUUGUUUUCUUCACGGCAGGUAAGGGACUCCUCUGCUGACAACGACGAUAACAACAAUUAACCCACAAGACAUAACAUAACAAAUAAAAAAAAACGCAAAACAGAGCCGGGAGGUAGGUCGUUGAGACGAUGAUGGCCGUCGUGCAGAUCGGAUGCGGCGCUGCCCCCGCCGAGAUGAAGUAGGUAGGUAGGUAGGUAGUAGCUGGGUGGGCUCCGACCCGCUGUGGCCUGUGGAGUAGGUCCGGAAUGAGUAAAAUGAAUCAGUCACUCACUCACUCACUCACUCACUGACGUCAUGUAUGAUCCCCUGCCUCACCCGAGAAAGCAUGCAUCGGUUUGUACCUUCACCUUCACCUUCACACGGUAUAGUUUAACCCAACCUAAACAUCCGGCCUCACACACAGGUGCUAGGUGGCGAGGUAGACCCUGAGGAGAAGAAGAAAACGUUUGGGAGGGUAAGCUAAACUAAGUGCAAAACCACCAGGGCCAGCCAGCCAGCACAGACACUGCGAUACAUUAGUCUUGCGCUAGCUAGUAAGAAUAAGAAUUAGAAUUAGAAUUAGAAGAACACACACACACACACACACACACACACACA